AAGCCACUUAAGUAUACCAGGAGUGGAGGGUUUCAUAUAGAAAUGAGGGCUUAUUUGAAUUUUGGGAAAGCUGAUGAAACAGGUCAGCAGAGUUACUGCAGAAGACCAGGAAAGUUACAUCUGGAAGGUUAGGGAAGCAGACACUAAAGACUUAAGCCUGAAGCAUAGAAGUAAGGAUCCGUCAAUACUUAUUGAGAAACUUCUGGAAUUCUCAAGAACCUCUGAGAAAUCUCCCAUUCUGUGGCAAUAAAGUGGUGGUACUCAAGCCAUCACCAACAUGGCUCAUAUGUCUCAUUGCACUAUGUCCAAAGACAAAUGGCCUCUGCUUCUCUUCUGUCUCCUAAAUCUCUUAAGAUUUCCUCUUAUUUGUUUAAGUCUAACCCAGAAGACUUACAUGGCAGGUAAUUCUGGGAAAUGUAUUCCCUUGUUUCUCCAAAGGGGUGGGGAUAAUACCAAGUUGACAACAGAAAAUCUAGCACCCUUUUUAAGGUUUUGGCAUCAGUGAUUUCUUGGUGCUCUAAAUAGUUCUUAUGAUUAUUCCAUGGGUGCUUAAAAAGAAUAUGUAUUCUCUGAUUUAAGAAUAUGUAAUUGAUUUAACUAUUGAUUAGAUAUUAAUAAAAUAGAUUUUUAAAUUACCUUAUUAAUUUGGUUAAGUCCUCCAUGACUACUUAUUUUUUGACUAUUUGUUAUGGAAAGGUGUAGCUAAAUAAAUAUAGAACUACUCUAUAUGUGUUUCUAGUUCUCUAUGUAUUCUCUACAUUUUGCUUUAUAAUUGUUUUCUUUCUUAGAGACAGGGGUCUUGCUGUGUUGCCCAGGCCAGAGUGCAGUGGCAUGAUCAUAACUCACUGUAGCCUUAAACUCCUGGGCUCAAGCAAUCCUCCUGCCUCAGCUUCUCAAGUAGAUGGGACUACAGAAGUGCAUCACCACACCCUGCUAAUUUUUUUCUUAUUUUUAUUUUUAGUGAUGGAGUCAUGCUAUGAUGCUCAGAGUGGUCUUGAGCUCCUGGCCUCAAGCAAUCCUCCCACCUCAGCCCCCUGAGUAGCUGGGAUUAUAGGUGAGAGGCACCAUGCCUGGAUUUGCUUUAUAAAUUUUGAUAUGUUACUUGGUGCAUAGAUAUUCAUUGCUGUUAGACCUUCAUUAUGUGUUGUACCCUGCCCUUCUUUGGUUCACUUUUCCUUGAAUUCAGUCUUGUCUGAUAUUAAUUUUCAGCUGUCUGCUUUCUUCUUAUUUCCAUUUUUCUAAUAUGCUUUUGCCUACUCAUUUGCUUUCAAUUUUUUCUGAGUCAUUUCAUUCUAGAUGAGUAUAUUACAGUCAGUACUUAAUUGGGUUUUUCUUUGUCACUGAAUAUGAGUGUCUCUUUUCCUGUGUAUUGAUAGGGUAGAUAUGUGUAGUAUGAGUGUUACAAUUUUUUAAAAAACUUUGAUUUCUCUCCUUUGUUUUAUUUGGGGUCUCCGGUUAUUUUUUAAGGUGUAUAGUGUCAUUUUAUUUUUAAUGUUUGCCUCUGUAAAAAUAAUUUUAUAGGCUGUACUUAAUCUUCUAUUUAUUUAGCUAGUUUAUAUUGACUCUUCAAUAACAGUAGUAAAUGUCCCUACUUCUAACUCCCCUUGCCCUCCACCUUUUAAUUUUGUGGGGUAUACUACUGGCCUUAGUUUUUCUAGUGGUUAAUUUUAUACAUUUAAAUAGGUUUAUACCUUUUAAACUUCAAUGGCCACCUUUAAAAAUAUUUUGACCCCACCCACUAUAAAAAAUAAACAUGCCAUCUUACACGCACAAUCUCACUUUCUCUCCCCUUACAUUCCCUAAUUUUUACUGGGUAUUUUAAUAUUUCUUCAUCAUCGUGGUUGAUUACAUUUACAUGUAUAUUGCAGUGGUAGUUCCCAUAAUUGUUAUAACCUUUAACCAUAGUUCUACAUUUAUUUUUGCCACCGUUUUUCCCAUUCACCUUUUGGUUCAACUUUAUCUUCUAGUAGUGUCUUCAAAAAAGUGUUCUUGGAAACUACAGCCCAUGAAACAUUAUUGCAUAUUUGAAAAUAUUUAUCUGUCACCAUUACACCUGAAUGACAAUUUAGCUAGCUCAAAUUUACUGGCUCACAUCAUCUUUUUUUUGGUAAUUUUUUAAGUACUUCUCUACUGUCAUGUAAUGUUGUAUGUAGGAUAGCCUAAAGCCAACUUGUGUUUUUUUAUUUUGCUGUUAUAGUAGUUUGAUCAUUUUUGCCUAGAUGCCCCAUAGGAUUAUUUUUCUUUGUCUUUAUUUCAGGAAACCUUACUAGACUAUGGUUCAGUGCUGACUAGACAUUUUUUUCCUUAAGAAACACCAUGCCCUUUAGAUCCUUAGAUUCAAAUCUUUUUUAAUAUCAGUAAAGUUUUUAAAUUUACAUAUUUGGAUAUUUUAUACUUCUCUAGUUUUUUCUUCUUAAAGAAGAAAACAUUAAUUCUGUCUUUGCCUGUCUUCCAUAUCUACAAUUUUCUUCUAAUCACUUUUUAUAAUUUCCAUUUCAUUUUGCUCAAUUGCCUCAAAGCUGCUAUCUAUUUUUCUGUUGUCAACAAUCUGUACUCUUACAUCAGCUACUAUGAUAAUAUUGUGUCACCAUUUACUACUAUUUACAAGCUAACCAUAAUUUCUCUGAUGAUUUUAGUUUUCUCUUCUACUUUGUGUCCUAGAUACAGGCAGCUCAAUUUUAAUUUUUGUUGCUUUUCUUGAUUCCUUAUACCUCUGCAUUAAGCUCUUAAUUCACAAAUUACUUCCAUUGUUAAGUUAUUGAGUUCUUAAACAAAUAUUUGGUCAUGAUUUUCAUCUACUCCACAUCAAAAUGUUCAUACUGUGUAGGCUGUUUGCCUUUUUUGUCCUGCUAUUUUCCACCAUUUUGUGACAUUUUUGUAUGGAUCUCCUUGUUCCUUUUUUAUUAUUAGUCAUCCUUGAGUGAGCAGAAAUCUUCCUAGAGCAGGUAUUUGAAAGAAGUAGUGUGGAAGAGGGGCUGGGGCUGUGUUCUGCGUUAGUAGAAAAUCCCCUAAUUCUUAGAAAAAUCCUUUAUGAUUCAUGGUCUUGUGGGAGAAGGUUGUGAAGCGGGUUUUGUGAAUGUGCUUCAUGUGCAAUAGAGAGUGACUGAGAGGUGGUUUAACCUUUCUUCUUAGCUCACAAAGAAUGGCUGCUACAGAGCUGCUUAACACCCACAGUUUUUCUUCUACAUGCUGCACAUUUACAAAGAUGGAGUAUCCGUGAGUUUUCUCACUCAUUCCUACCUCCCCUGCCAUUUUAAAGUAUCCAAGGAAGUUGGGGAGAUUCCCUCAGCUAAACAGCCACCCAGAUCUUAUUGUUCCAAACAAAAAAUUAUUAGAUUUGCCCUCUGAGCAGGUCACCUACUUUGGAGAAUUUUGUGCUCUGCCAGCUCUCCUCAAGAUUUGGAAAAGCAGUUAUUUUCUAUUGGAGCCCCCAUCACUCCAGUCCAAAGUUCACUGCAUGUGACAUCCCAUCUUAUUUGUCUGGUUCCUGAUUAUAGGAGUUUCCCAGUUUCAACAAAAAUACUGUCUUUGUUUUUGUUUCUCAUUCAUUUUUCCCCAAUUUUGUUUCAAAGCGAAAAGUAAAAACAUUCUUACUCUAACAUCUUAAAAUUAAUGUCUGGGAGGAACCUAAACUGCUUAUUAAUAUAUGCCAUGCUAUAUGUGAUAUGGCAGAGACUGCUACCUGUCCACCAGAAUCUAUUUAUUUUUCUUGGAUGCACAAUAAGACUACAUUUCCUAGUCUCCCUUGCAAUUACAUGUGACCAUGUCAUUAAGAUUUAGUGGAUGAAAUUUAAGCAGAAGCAAGGUGUGUAAAUUCUAGGGCUGGCCCAUUACAAACUUUAACAUGGGCACCUGUGUGUUUUUCCUUUUCUGCUUAAUUGGGUUGGAGAUAAUCACAGUGAUGCUGAAAGCCAUGUGCUAAAGAAGGCAGAGCCUCCUUCUGCUUGGGCUCCUGAAUGACUGUGUGGAACAGAGGCCCUUGCCACUCUUGGGCCAUUCUGGAUUAUUACAUGCACAAAGAGUAAAGUUCUUUUCUGUUAAGCCAUUAGAUGUAUGGGUUUAUUUGCUGUUACAGCCUAGUCGAACCCAAAUGAUGUAGUGAGGGAGGCAGGACAAGGAAGAAACCUAUUCAGUAUGGAGUUAUCCUUAGGGACAAGUUACAAAAAUUAUAAGGAUCAGACACCACUGCUGGUUGAUCCAUUAUAGACCAGAAUAAGCAGGUGGUAUGAUUCCAGAAGGAGAUGCCAUGGUUGUGUGAGAGAGAGAUUAACCAUUCCUAUAAACAGAAGGGUCAAAGAAAGUAGCCAGUCACCAGAAUGCUUAUAUUAAGGAGGAUUGUGACUACCUGUAUAUAAAGUAUAGGAAGAAAAUGGGGCAGGGCAAUUAAGAUGAAUUGCAGACACAACUAUUUGUGCAUAUUAAUUUGAAUUUAAAUUUAAACUUAAUUUAAGGAUAAUUUAAAGGAAAAUCUUCCCUUACCUAUUUCAUGCUGAAGGGGUCUUUCAAGUUGUCAAACUCUCUCUAUAUAAAUAAGACUGCAUAAUCCAGACCCUCCGGAAUCCAGAGAUGAAUUGCAUGUGGUAGCUGAUGUGUGGGAAGCCCACAGAGCAGCACUUCUGGUCAUUGCCAUCCAGCUAGCUGGUGCUCUCAGAAGAAUGAGAUGAAGAGGCAUGACUUUCAAGCUUCCUCUGCCAUACAAGCUUGACUGCCAGGAAACAGAAAGCGGGGCAUCUCCACCUGCUGGCAGAAGACCAAAACUACACCAUAUUGCAUUGACCGCAGACAUCAGGCUUUGUUUCCUUUUAAGUGAAUAGGUGAAAUCAAUCAAGCAAACUGGAAUUAGGAAACAGAAGGACCACUCACAACCGUACCUCCACAGCAAAGCUAACACUUUCAUUUUGAAUAACCCCUUUCCAGCCCCUGUUUACAUCAGUCACAUUUUUGCAUGGACAUAAUAGUGUUUCAGGCAGUCCUGCUCUACAGAAGGCAUUUGUUUCGCUGACCAUAAGCAUCUUAUGUGCUUCUACAUUGUCUUUAUAGCCAGCUGUCUGAAGUUCUACAUCAUCCGUCAGUGAUGGGUCCUGAGUAAACUCAGCAGUCUCCUCUAAGUAACUUGUAUAUAUCCCUUUUAUAAAGAAUGCUGCAGUGGCCACCCUUAAGUAUAGAACUUUGUCUUUCCCAGGCAUUACUUACAGGAAACUGGGGACCAAAUGCCACUCCAUAGCAUAGCUUAGGAGAAGUGAGAUUCCAAAGGACAGAGUGGGCUGGCACAUAUGUAGUAGAAGACUAGACAAAUGAGAGUGAAUGAGCGAGUCUGUUGUGAGUGGAUGACACGCAAUGCAACCCCAAGGGCCGGCUCCAAUUUGCACAGUCCCUAAAACAUCCCAGGGAUCCAGUCUUAUCGCAGUCUCAUCAACAUUGACAAUAAUCAUUUAGAGAAUUUUCACCAUGAGACUUUUGACACUCUGCUCUGGGAUUUUGGAGUUCCAACUGCUUUAACAAUUUAUACAGUCACUCAAAUGUAGAAUCCAGUGAAUUAUUAAUGACAAUUUUGCUCCGCAUAUUGAAAGGGCAUUCUAUAUUAAUCAAUUAUAAAUCAUGAUAAAUUGCUUUCUAAAAAUUAUACACUUGAAACCCAGAAAUGUUCAAGCCCCUCACCAGUUUACAUACAUCCUUAACCGUGUCUUGUUAACUGGGUGACCAGGAAACAGAGAAAGGAGGAUGUACUUAAUGAAUAACUGGCCAGAAGUCGGAAGACCUAGAUUUUCUUCCUAUCCCUUCCAUAGAUUUGCUCUGUGACCCUAGACAAUUCAUAUGCCCCCUCUGUUACCAUACUUUUAAGCUGAAGGGGUUAUAGUGCAUACUUUCUGAGGUCCUUCUAACACUGGAGAUCUAUGAGUUCAUAAGAUCACAUAGAGUCUUGGACUUUUCAGAGAUCACUAGGCAUAAGAAAGCCCUCGAGGACAUCCUCUUCCUAGAUCAACCACUCCAAGCUAAGACCUUAAUGGGUCUACACUGUCAUCCAUUUAUAUAGGAGAGAGGAUGGUACAAGCUAAGUGAAAGUCUGUUGUCAACUCAGGAACUAGGGUACAGUUCCAGCAAUCAAUCUCCAUGGAGGGUUAGCAGAGGUCUGGCCUAGCCAAUUAGGGUUUGGCACUGCCAUAUGCUACUAGAAAACACAUGCUUUCAUGCCAGGCAACAGGGUGGGAAGUGCAAUGCCAUUAAGGACCAUACCUUAGCCUACUUAAACUAGCCUGGGAUUGAGUUACUGAGCUCAAAAUACAAUUCAGCACACUUUCCUGCCCACUGCAAGUCAGGCCAGCCCCUGGAGAACUCCAGGGACAAGGCAAGUCUGGAGUUUGUCCCCAAGGAACUCCCAGUCUAGUGGAGGAGAUGGGCCCAUAGCAGAGUUACAAAUGUCCAAAAUAAGAGCACAAAUUCCUGGGUUCUUAAAGAGAGUUCAAGCACACACACACACACAGAGAGAGAGAGAGAGAGAGAAAUUAAUUUAGAUAAGGAAGGGAGGUAGGGAGAGAUGGUGCCAGCAAUGGCUUCCUGAGGAAAUGUCACUUGUGAUGGGUCUUUUAGGUGAGUUGGACAUUGAGAGAAAGUAAUCAAAAGGGCACAAGAUAGGGUAGCUGUCAGGUAAACAAAACAAAACUGUAUGCACAAAGGUCUAGAGGCAAGAAAGCAUGGGUGUGCUUGCAUAGCAAUGAAGAAUGUGGUUUGGCCAAAGCAUAGGAUUCACAGAAGGACCUCCCCAGGCCAUCAGUAGUCUCUCCUUCGCAGGAGUCCACUGUGGCUGGACGAGGAACAGAUCAAAACAGGUCUUGUUUGAGGCUUGGCCCAACAACAGGGCCAGCUGUUGACCAGGGCUUCCUUCACCCUUAGCUUUCUCUCCCCCUAGUGUAGUCAGAGACUCCAAAGGCAGUCCCAGAGUGUUGUGCCAAAACAAAUGCACAUCAGGCUAUUGUCAUCAGGAGCCCUUGUCUUGUUCUGUUUGUUUUAAGAAGACAUAAGUGAAAUAACCAGGUUUCCGAAGAGAGGGCAGAAUUGGGUUUGUCCCCAGGGAAAAUGAGGUUUCUCCACCAUGGCUGUUCUCCCCAUGCAGCAGUGGCCAGGGGUCCCCAGCAGCUCUUUGCUCAGUGCCCCUGCUGCUAGGCCUGAUGCUUCCUAUGUGGUCAGCUCAGAUGUGCAACCCUUCUCCAUUUUUAUUAUUUGAGCAAUAUAAUCAUUAUUGCUUUUGUUACCCAAAAUCUUAUAAUCACCCAUUUAAGAGUAAUGUAGGAAUCAUUUUUCUCUUUUAUUUGAUGAACUAAUCUUUCUGGUUGGCUCUUGAGGUGGGAGGGGUGGGCAAUGGGGACCAGCCUGCUUCAUCUCACUCUUUCCUAGGCCUGCUCCUUAGGCACGUGCCCCACAAAUCCCACCUCCGCAGCUUGGAAAAGGGGCCCACAGAGGAUCUCAGGUAUCUGAGGAAGGGCCAGAGGCUAUUUGGCCUGACAUCCUGGAACAUCACCAGCCAGGAGCCAUAACUCCUUUAGGCUAGCCUGCCUGCAACUGGAUCAGGUAUAGCAAAAACGAUUGAUCUCACCUUCUAAUUUUCAAUGAGUGGGAGUGGCUGCCUUGAGUGCUGUGUUGGGAAGGAGUCUGAGGCAGCAUCUGGACCCUGUGUAAAUAUGCGUUUCCUGUUAUUGAUGAAGCUUUCAAGACAAGAUUUUAGAAAGCUUUGGCUCAAGUUGUAGGUUGUGGGAGGAAGGAAUUAGUAAGAGCCAUCAUAAACUCAACAUCUAUUGUGUUCCAGGAGCUGUGACCACUCCCUUCUUUUUAGUCGGGAAGGUCAGGAUCUCACUAUGUCACCUAGGCUAGAGUGCAAUGGUGUGAUUAUUGCUCAUUGUAGUCUUGAAUUUGAAUUCCUGGGCUCAAGUAAUCCUCCUGCCUCAGCCUUCUGAGUAGGUGGGACUACUGGUGUGUGCCACCACACUCGGCUUACUCCUCCCUUUGUAUCCUGCUGCAUCGUUAGUGCAUGAUACCCACCACCCCCUCAGAGGCCCAGCCUAGUGCUGUCUCUCAGAAAAACACCCUUUGAGUCAACAGAGACAAACUUAGGGGGUGCCUGACUCCAAAGUCCAGGCCUUCCUCCUUUGAGGAACAGCAUGGCUUCCCCAGGGAAUAUCAUUCCAUGGAGACAAGGCCUGCAGACAGAUCUCAUUUUCAUCUGUUCUUUUACUAGCCCUUGGAGGAUUUGCUCCAAAAACCUGAGGCACUGAUGUUUACUCCAGCUUUACUUCCCCCAUACCUGGUGAACAACUCUGGCCCAGCUUCCACACACCAAGGCCCAUGGCUCUAAUAGAGCCAGAGAGGCAGUCUCAGCUAAGAAGAGCUGUAUCCUCCAGGGACCAGCAGGAACUUCCAGAGAUAUCCUACAAGCUCCAACUGCUGGGAAAAGCAGACUGGGGUCUUCCUCAGGCUCCACCAAAGAUAGCCAAGUGGCAGCAAUGACAUGAGCACCUCAUUCCUGUCCUAGACCCUGGCAAUUCCAUGAGAGGGAGGCUCUGAAUUCACCUCUGUUCCCAGGAUGUGUGACAUCAAUGCACAUUGUCAUACCAGAUACACCUGCCAAACUUCAGAACCCCUGGGAAGUGACCAGAAUGCCACUGAAUUCAACACCUUAGACCAAUGAACAUGACCUGGGUCCUGUAGGAUAGGAGGCAGCAGCAGUGUAUACCCAGACCUGCCCUCAACAUCUCUGACUUUUAGGCAUAGCAGGAACAUUGGAAUCUCUGCCCCCACUUUUUUAAAAAUCUAUUUGGAUUCCACACACACAAAAAAAAUGAUUUUGAAAAAGGAAAAUUUCGCUCCCUAAAAACUAGAGUGAACAUUUUAUCAAUUAAAAGUAACAACUCAUUUACAGAAAGGGAACAGGCCCAGAAAAGAAAGUCCCUUUCCCUUAGUCUCACAGUUAGAUUUUUUUAUGGCAAAGCACAGACUAGAAUGUAUUCUUCCUGAAGCAUAUGGUAUGGACUGAAUGUUUGUGUACCUACCCCUCAAAUUUAUAUGUUGAAGCCCAAUCCCCAAUAGGAUGUAAUUGGGAGGUGAGGCCUUUGGGAGGUAAUUAAGUUAUAAAGGUAGAGCCCUCAUGAAUGGGAUUACUGCUCUUACAAGAAGAGAAACAAGAGAGAUGAUCUCUUUCUUGACCACGUGAGGAUACAGCUAAAAGAUGAUCAUCUGCAAACCAGGACAAGAGCCCUCCCUAGACAAUCUAUCAGCACUUUGAUCUUGGACUUCCCUACCUCCAUAAAUAUGAGAAAUAAAUGUUUAUUAUUUAAGCCAUCCAGUCUAUGGUUAUUCUGUUAUAGCUGCCUAAACUAAGACACCAUACUAUCCAAGCACAUUGACACAAGCCUAUUUCAUCCCCUGAGAGCUCUGCUAGAGGUUAUGAGCUCAUGUGACCUGUUGAGUGGCAGAAGUAAGAAAGCAAGUGUCUUAGCUUGUUGAGGCUACUGUAACAAAAUGCCACCAACUGGGUGGCUUAAACAACAGGAAUGUAUUUUUUCACAGGUUUGGAGGCCGGAAAUCUGAGAUCAAGGUGUUUGCAGGGCUGUUUCCUUGACUUAUAGAAGCAUCACCCCGAUCUCUGCCUUCAUGCUCACAUGGUGUUCUUCCUGUGUGCAUAUCCAUCUCUGUGUCCAAAUGUCCCCUUUUAUAAGGACACAGGUUAUUAGGUUAGGGCCCAUCCCAAUUACCUCAUCUUAACUUGAUUACAUCUUAAAAGAUGAUUUUCAUCUCAAUAAGAUUACAUUCUGAGAUACUAGGGUUUAGGACUUUAACAUAUGAAUUUAGGGGUUGUCUCAGUCUGUUUUCUGUUGCUUACAACAGAAUAUCUGAAACUGGGUAAUUUAUAAAGAAAAGAAAUUUAUUGCUUACAGUUGUGGAGGCUGAACUGUCUCUCUUUUUCUUUCUAUAAAGCCACCAGUCCCAAUUCCACGAUAACCCAUUAAUCCAUUAAUCCAUCAAUCUAUAAAUGAAUUAAUUGGCCACGCACGGUGGCUCACGCCUGUAGUCCCAGCACUUCGGGAGGCUGAAGCAGGCAGAUUGCUUGAGGUCAGGAGUGCAAGACCACCUGGCCAACAUGGUGAAGCCCCGUCUCUACUAAAAAUACAAAAAUUAGCCAAGCGUGGUCGUGGGCACCUGUAAUCCCAGUUACUUGGGAGGAUGAGGCAGGAGAAUUGCUUGAGCCCAGGAGGCGGAGGUUGCAGUGAGCCAAGAUUGUGCCACUGUACUCCAGCCUGGGCAACAGAGUGAGACUCUGUCUCAAAAAAAGAAAAAAAAGAGAAUUAAUCAAUUCAUGAUGGCAGAGCCCUCAUGACCCAAUCACCUCUCAAAGGCCCCAUCUCUCAAUACUGCCAAAUUGGGGUUAAGUUUCAACAUGAGGUUUGGAGGAGACAAAAUUUCAAACCAUAUAGCGGGGCUAUGGACAAAAUUCUACCCGUAACGGUAAGUAUAAUUAGAGGCCAGAGGUCAGAAAUAAAUAGUGAGGUCGCAAAAGCCCAAAGGGCUUUCUGAGUGAGACGGGUGCUGGAAAGGGGAUAGGGAAGGCAGCUCUGCCCCUUGUUUUCCCAGUCUCUGCCUCUCUGGGUCGUUGGGGAGGAGAUGAGAAGAAACACUUUUCCCUCAUAGGCAAACACAUGUGGCUAGACUUACUGAAGCACCAGGGGUAACAAUGCUCUUAUUGUCCCCUUCCUUCUCCAUCUUCCAUGUGCAUGUACUCACCAACAGGCAUAACGGCAUGGCCAGGAACGUCAAACUAGAAACCACCUCGAAGAUACUAAACUUCACAAAGUGCUUUCCUUUUACAGUAGAAUAAGCCAAUUGUCCUUCAAUGGACUGGCAGGACAUGUAGCUCUCAGUUUCUAUAGCUUCAGGGAUAUCCACAGAAUAAUAGCAGUUGAAUGUCUUUUAAACUCAAUUGCUGGUUUUAUGCAAUCCUAUUUGGAGAGCAAGUGGCCCAGAGAGAAGGGACUUACCCAAGGUCACACAGUGAGUUAGAGACAGACUUGGAACUCAGUCCCCAGUUUCCACCUUCUUAUAAGAACUAUCAGAUCAUGGGGAUACCCAAGCUCAAUGUUGUUUUUUCUGUGCUAGCCUCCUUCUAGCAUGCCAUGUUGCUUACCUCAGUGGAAAGUUAGUAACAGGUUUUCCCACCAUAUAUGGACCCUAAAGAUAUUCAACAGGGACCUCCUAGAAAUACUGUCUUGCUCCAAAGAAGGGACAGCUUGUGGUGGUGUGCGUGUGUGUGUGUGUGUGUGUGUGAAGGGUGUGCAUUUCCAGCAUCGAAAUAUGAGCUUUGCACUAGUUGUGUAUCUCCACCUUCCCUGUCAGUUGUAACUUCCUACUCUUUGGCAGCCCGGCCUUGAUAACAUAUUGCCUCAAAUCUCAGUGCUGCUUCUGCUCUGCUGGUAGGCCUAGGAAUCAACGGCAAGUAACGACCUACUAUGUGGAGGCCAUGAGAAAGAUUUCUGAAUGAAGUCCACCUGCACAUGGACUUUAUUGCAACUACACCGGCUGCUGAGAUGGUGGGAGGGAUUUGACUUUUUCUCAUUCUUGAUUGAAUAUCAAACAGAUGACAGGGUAGCCAGGUUUGAGAUCUUAGAUGGUGAGUAAGGAAGGAUCUAGAGAACACAAUGUCCAAGCUCAGGUUCUAGGGUGCUGAAAGCCUGGAGUACAGCAGAGUACUGGCAGCUGCUUGUUACUCAAUAGAAGUGGUACUCAGACACUCGGAUCUCACUAACGGUCUCAAAGGAUGACAUGUUCUCCAGAAACAUGGCCUCUUCUUUGGUGAAGUCAUUGACCCUGUGCCAAGAUGCUUGUCAAUUAGCCAUUUGACGAAAAGGCAAUUCUUCUAAAUGUUUCCUCAGCAAGACCCACGACACAAAAUUUGUCUGGGGACACUUGCAUUUGUCACCUUUCUAACUGCCAGCUAUUAUUAAAGGCAUUAGAAUAGACCUAGAGUAACUAUUUCACCAUUAACAUAAAGAUGGCUUUUAAGUUGUCCUGGAAUAAAAGAAAUUGUGAGACUGUUCAAAUGUAAGAGGUCAAGAACCCAAGUGAGUGGCUGUUUCAUUUUUUUAAGUAUCUAAUAAUUUGCAUGUAAGAGAUUUCAUACAAUGAAAUGAGUUGAAAAAUGAAGGUGGGAAUAAUGUUUAUCUUACCUUUCUAAGUCACAAAAGGUACUACAGAACUGAAAUGUCAUACCAGCCCAAUGAAUUUUUAUAAGCUACCCAUUUUGUACUGUCUGUUAAAUAAUACUGUUCUUAGAUUCAUCAUCAAAAAUCCCUCAGAAUCGUUCUUAUUUUAAAAUCUAACCAGAAAAUAUAGUUGACAUCCAACUCAUCAGCAUUCUUAUUAAUGUGUGUCAAGCUAUAUGGCAGGUCCUAUACUGUGUACCAUAUAUUUUAUCUCCUGCAUCCUUGGCAACGACCCAGUGUGGCAGAUAUUAACACCAUUUUAUAGCUGGGGAAACUGAGGUCCAGAGAAUUGAAAUAUCUUGCUCCAAGUCACACAACUAAUAAGAGGUAGAGCCAGAAUUUGAACUGAGGUAUUUCUUCUUUUUUGCUACUAUCUGUUCAAUAAUCAACCAAUAGUAGCCAUGUGGCUCUGCAUAGACUAUGGUGGGAAAUCACUUGGCCAAGGUUUGCUCCCCCUUUGUAGAAGAUGAGAGACCAGUUUUCACAGCCAUAUAAAUUGUGAAAUGCCUCUCUCGCAUAAUCUCAUAUUUGGUCCCAUUGACAAGCCAAUCCAACAUUUUCUUCCAAUGAGACAUAGAAAGUUGGAAUAUUUAUUUAUGAGAACGAGUCUACAUCACCUUCCAAUUAGGGGCUCACAUGCCCUACUUGGGCAGCCUACCUCCAUAACAUUAACACCUUGAGAUGACUUGUAUCUAGAGGCAUACCAUUUGUAUUUACUGAAUAAAUAAAUGAGAUUAUUAUUCAUUAUUACAAAGGGGAUGCUGCAAAAAGGGGGUCUCUGACAGUGAACUGGGUGAGACCCAAAUGAGAUGAAAGAGUUUUAGGAAUGAAACAGUGUGUUUUCAGGAGCAGUGUGUUUCUCCAGCCCCAAGACCCUUUAUAGAAACAAAUUUGUUUGGAACAGAUUUGCUGUGUUGAUGAAUUCACCCAUUAUGACUUGGGCAACAUGGGUGAGACAACAUGUUCUCCUGGCACAAAUACCGAUCUUAGAUUCUCUUCUCUUCCUGUGGGUAGAAAGCAUUUCUGAAAGAAAUGGGAAACAUCUGGGGAAAAAUACAACAAAGCGGUGAACAUCAGAUGCCAUCCACCAGAUUAGCUCCUGAGAUACAUUUCCUGAGGAAGAAGAACACAACCUUAAUGCAAUUAGAUGACAAUACUGCAAGCCAACCAAGAAGCUAAAAGGUUUAGGUAUCUCCCUAAGUUCUAAGUGGCUUUGUGUGCACCAGUUUAACUUUCCACCAAGAUUUUAGGAGUGUGACAUUGGAGCCUAUGAAUUUAGAUAGCUCAUUGGUUGUGGGACACUAACCACGCACCAGUAUCAAGUAUGUUUUUAGAUCCCUCAAACAUGAGGAGAAUUCAGGUAGAGUAUUGCAUGCUACCACCUACUGCAGACUCGGACACAGCUCUGAAUUUCUAUUAUGGCCUUAUUUAUAACUUUCAGACUUCAUUAAUUUGGGUAGAAUUAUGAUUUGGCUUUGGCUUUUUAUUAAGGUUGUGUGUGACAAAAAAGUUAUGCUUUCAAUUUGUAAAAGCAAAUACCUACGUGAGACCUGUCAUGGCCAGCAUGAGCUGCAGACAGUCACGCUGAUGGGGUUAAUUGCCAUUUUAAAAUAAUUCACUGCCUCCAGAUUGAUUCUUCUGUGUUUUGUCUUUACACAACAUUACUGUUUCUCACUCUAAUUAUUCAAUGCUAAGUUCAUACUUCUGAAGCAGGAGAUUGGAGUCAGAGGAAAUGGUGUUUGAUUUGUUGCCAUGGAAACAUCUCGCUGUAGAUGGACUCUAAUCCCAUGACAACUCUCUCUCUCUUAAGAACCAUUUUUUUCUGACAUAAUAAAAAUCUGAUCAAGGUCAGAUUUAAUAACCAUCUCAAUUCCCCGACUUUCUCCUGUAUUUGGUGUCAGAGAGUCAUUUUGACAAAGCGAUGAUUAAAAGAACUUUUGCUUGCUUUCUGUAUAAAAUUAUUGUUUAUGCCUCUAAAUAUAUAAACCUGGCUCUGUGUCACAUUAAUUUGCAGCCAUACCCUUUGUUAUUGCAUAAUUUCUGCAUUAAAAAAGUUACUUAUAAUUGAAUUGUUUGCACUAUGUUGGCAGAUGUUAACAUUUUGUGGUGCAUUGUUCUUGCUAAUACAUACAUUGGGGUAUCAAUAAAGCUUAUCAUUUGUCAACAAAUGGUGUUUACAGUAUUAACAAAUGCCACGAUCAUUUAUCUUUCAGUUUGUAUUGUAAUAAUUUUCUGAACUGAUUAUCAUGUAAGUAUGCAGUUCAUUGAGAUGGGAACUGUGCAAUGCUGCACUGAAAUGAA
rnacentral:lncRNA from 10 species